rnacentral:pre_miRNA from 1 species
CCACUGUCGAGCCGGUUGAACCACCAAGCCCCCCAUGUAAAUAAGUUCCAUACAGUAGCAGGUAAUGUUUUUCGUUCCCAUUCGUAGUGC